GACGAACCGUGCGAACGUUAUUCGGAAUCACUGGGCUUAAAGCGCGUGUAAGCGGGAGGGCACGUCCGUCGCUGAAAUCCCCCGGCUCAACCGGGGAACGGGCGCGGAUACGACCUUCCUGGAGGGGCGUAGGGGGACCUGGAACUUCCGGUGGAGCGGUGAAAUGCGUUGAGAUCGGAAGGAACGCCCGUGGCGAAGGCGGCUCUCUGGGACGGUACUGACGCUGAGACGCGAAAGCGUGGGGAGCGAACAGG
rnacentral:rRNA from 1 species